rnacentral:rRNA from 1 species
UACGUAGGGUGCAAGCGUUAAUCGGAAUUACUGGGCGUAAAGCGUGCGCAGGCGGUUAUGCAAGACAGAUGUGAAAUCCCCGGGCUUAACCUGGGAACUGCAUUUGUGACUGCAUAGCUAGAGUACGGUAGAGGGGGAUGGAAUUCCGCGUGUAGCAGUGAAAUGCGUAGAUAUGCGGAGGAACACCGAUGGCGAAGGCAGUCCCCUGGACCUGUACUGACGCUCAUGCACGAAAGCGUGGGGGAGCAAACGAGG